UACAGAGGUCUCAACCGUUGUUCGGAUUCAUUGGGCGUAAAGGGUGCGUAGGCGGUCGCGCAAGUCGGAUGUGAAAUCUCAGGGCUCAACCCUGAAACUGCAUUCGAUACUGCGUGGCUAGAGUGCUGGAGAGGAGACUGGAAUUUACGGUGUAGCAGUGAAAUGCGUAGAUAUCGUAAGGAAGACCAGUGGCGAAGGCGGGUCUCUGGACAGUUCCUGACACUGGGGCACGAAGGCCAGGGGAGCAAACGGG
rnacentral:rRNA from 1 species